GUACGGAGGAUGCGAGCGUUAUCCGGAUUUAUUGGGUUUAAAGGGAGCGUAGGUGGGAUAUUAAGUCAGCUGUGAAAGUUUGGGGCUCAACCUUAAAAUUGCAGUUGAUACUGGUUUCCUUGAGUACGGUACAGGUGGGCGGAAUUCGUGGUGUAGCGGUGAAAUGCUUAGAUAUCACGAAGAACUCCGAUCGCGAAGGCAGCUCACCGGGCCGGAACUGACACUGAUGCUCGAAAGUGCGGGUAUCAAACAGGAUUAGAUACCCUGGUAGUCCGCACAGUAAACGAUGAAUACUCGCUGUUUGCGAUACACUGUAAGCGGCCAAGCGAAAGCGUUAAGUAUUCCACCUGGGGAGUACGCCGGCAACGGUGAAACUCAAAGGAAUUGACGGGG
rnacentral:rRNA from 1 species